rnacentral:rRNA from 1 species
GACAGCAGUCGCCGCGGUAAUACGGAGGGUGCAAGCGUUAAUCGGAAUUACUGGGCGUAAAGCGCACGCAGGCGGUCUGACAAGUCAGAUGUGAAAUCCCCGGGCUUAACCUGGGAACUGCAUUUGAAACUGUCAGGCUGGAGUCUUGUAGAGGGGGGUGGAAUUCCAGGUGUAGCGGUGAAAUGCGUAGAGAUCUGGAGGAAUACCGGUGGCGAAGGCGGCCCCCUGGACAAAGACUGACGCUCAGGUGCGAAAGCGUGGGGAGCAAACAGGAUUAGAUACCCGGGUAGUCCCUGUCUCUUAUAC